rnacentral:misc_RNA from 1 species
GGAAGUAAAAGUCGUAACAGGGAACCGUAGGUGAACCUGCGGUUGGAUCAUUAGCGAAAAACAAAAGAAAGCUCUGGGUUCCCUCUGGCGACAGAGGGGUCGGACUUUUUUUUUCACCCCCUUGUGAACCGUUUAUUGUAUUUUGGCAGCCCUCUUUGACACCUUGAGAGAAACGCGGAGAACGCAGCUGCGCUUCGGGGUAGCGGUGGUUUCCGCUGCGUCUUGACAGUGUGCUUGGGCUGUCAGCUGUGCUGUUAACCACACCAGUGUUUAUGUCCUUACAUCAAUGUCUCCCAAAGCAACUAACUCUCUGGCACGUUAAAAAAGGAAACGUGUUGGAAAGCUAUUGCGACUUUAUUAAGUUGAUAAACAACUUUUGACAAUGGAUCUCUUGGCUCUC